CCUACGGGUGGCAGCAGUGAGGAAUAUUGGUCAAUGGACGAGAGUCUGAACCAGCCAAGUAGCGUGAAGGAUGACUGCCCUAUGGGUUGUAAACUUCUUUUAUAUGGGAAUAAAAUGUUCCACGUGUGGGAUUUUGUAUGUACCAUAUGAAUAAGGAUCGGCUAAAUCCGUGCCAGCAGCCGGGGGAAUACGGAGGAUCCGAGCGUUAUCCGGAUUUAUUGGGUUUAAAGGGAGCGUAGGUGGAUUGUUAAGUCAGUUGUGAAAGUUUGCGGCUCAACCGUAAAAUUGCAGUUGAAACUGGCAGUCUUGAGUACAGUAGAGGUGGGCGGAAUUCGUGGUGUAGCGGUGAAAUGCUUAGAUAUCACGAAGAACUCCGAUUGCGAAGGCAGUUCACUGGACUGCAACUGACACUGAGGCUCGAAAGUGUGGGUAUCAAACAGGAUUAGAUACCCUUGUAGUC
rnacentral:rRNA from 1 species